UACGUAGGGUCCGAGCGUUGUCCGGAAUUAUUGGGCGUAAAGGGCUCGUAGGCGGUUUGUCGCGUCGGGAGUGAAAACCUUGGGCUUAACUCAGGGCUUGCUUUCGAUACGGGCAGACUAGAGGUAUGCAGGGGAGAACGGAAUUCCUGGUGUAGCGGUGAAAUGCGCAGAUAUCGGGAGGAACACCAGUGGCGAAGGCGACUACCUGGCCUGUUCUUGACGCUGAGGCGCGAAAGCUAGGGGAGCAAACGGG
rnacentral:rRNA from 1 species